rnacentral:lncRNA from 1 species
AGGUCAAGGCUGCAGUGAGCCAAGGUCAUGCCACCGCACUCCAGCCUGGGCGACAGACCUUGUCUCAAACAAACAAGCAAACCAAAACCCUCUUGGUCCCAUUUCCCAAAAAAUGAUUUUUUUGAGAUCUUACCAUCUCCUGGCUUGGUGCAGAGUACAGGAAAUCAAGACAAAGUACAGCACACAAGGAAUAAGGAGGGAGGGAAGUGUGGGGGAGGCUGACUCUGUGGACUCUCCCAGCUCAGUCGACCCAUGCGCCUUGCUUCAUGGAAGAAAGGAAUGGAAGAUGAAUCGUGCCUUUCACACACAGUGACCUUCCUCACUAGUAAAUGCGCCUUCAGAAGUGUCCAAGAGGUCAGUGCCACAGCCAGGCUGGCUGCAUGAGAAUCACCUGCGAGCUUUUGCAAACAUAGGCCCCUAUUGGGUCCACAUGUAUUCAUCUCUUGGAGAGGAGGAGAGAGGCAGAACAAGGAAAAGGAUGGGAAGAAACCAGCCUUGUGCACAGGAGGAUGCUGGGAUUCCUCCUGCACGUUUAGCACAAUGCAGCCUAUUUUACAAGGUCACAGAAGCUCAGAGAGCAGUCCUGGGAAAGAAGCAGAUGUGGUUUCCGAUCCCACUUUCCAGAAGAGGAGACUGAACAGAGGCUUUGCAGAUACACAAAGGACAUGUGAGGACAGGCGAAGGUCAUGAUCAUUGCCAGCCCCUCCCCCAACUUGACAUUCCCAGAUCUGGUGGACUUCCAACCAGAGGAGAGAGAAGGACUGGAUCAUUCAACUCUGCCAUGGAUGCCAGGACCACAUUUUUCCAUGGUUAACUCGGUCACAUCCUGUCUGGGAUCUCCAACUACUACCCAUCCCACAAGUCUCAGCUAAAACAGCAAUUCAAUGAGGAAAUUUUUUCUGAGGCUCCAGGAUUGGGCCAGGCCCACUCCAUGGCUCUCUGCCCUUCCCCUACUGCAGAACUUAGCACCCGUAUGUCACUAUUGGUUCAAACAUGUGUCUUUCGUAUGCUCUCCACGUUAUCUGCAGCAUCUGCCAA